rnacentral:rRNA from 1 species
AGAGUUUGAUCAUGGCUCAGAACGAACGCUGGCGGCAGGCCUAACACAUGCAAGUCGAACGCCGUAGCAAUGCGGAGUGGCAGACGGGUGAGUAACGCGUGGGAAUAUCCCCCUCAGUACGGAAUAGCUCAGGGAAACUUGGGGUAAUACCGUAUACGUCCGUGAGGAGAAAGAUUUAUCGCUGAGGGAUUAGCCCGCGUAGGAUUAGCUAGUUGGUGAGGUAAUGGCUCACCAAGGCGACGAUCCUUAGCUGGUCUGAGAGGACGACCAGCCACACUGGGACUGAGACGCGGCCCAGACUCCUACGGGAGGCAGCAGUGGGGAAUAUUGGACAAUGGGCGCAAGCCUGAUCCAGCCAUGCCGCGUGAGUGAUGAAGGCCUUGGGGUUGUAAUGCUCUUUUGGCGGGGACGAUAAUGACGGUACCCGCAGAAUAGCCUGAUCCC